rnacentral:rRNA from 2 species
CUCGUAGGUGGUUUGUCGCGUCGUCUGUGAAAUUCCGGGGCUUAACUUCGGGCGUGCAGGCGAUACGGGCAUAACUUGAGUGCUGUAGGGGAGACUGGAAUUCCUGGUGUAGCGGUGGAAUGCGCAGAUAUCAGGAGGAACACCGAUGGCGAAGGCAGGUCUCUGGGCAGUAACUGACGCUGAGGAGCGAAAGCAUGGGGAGCGAACA